GGUGGGGUGAGUGUGUUUUCCUUAUAAACUUUGAUGCCCAAGGAGGUGUAGAGGGGAUGGUCACCGGCGGUGGUAGCACGACGGAGGAGACGGAGAUGGCAUGUUGGUGAGGCAGCACCCACUAGUAGAAAACAGGGCUUUGGUCCAGGACGGGUCAGCCCAUUACUCUCGAUUUAGUCCAGAACCGGGACCAAUGGGGGCAUUGGACCCGGUUCGUGAGCCCAGGGGGCCGGCCGGGCCACGUGGGCCAUUGGUCCCGGUUCAUCUGGACCUUUUGGUCCCGGUUAGUGGGACGAACCGGGACCAAUGGGUCUCGCUCCUGCCCACCAUCAUUGGUCCCGGUUGGUGGCUUGAACCGGGACCAAAGGCUCCCCUUUAGUCCCGGUUCAUGCCACCAACCGGGACCAAUGAGGUGCCUAUAUAUACCCCCUCGCGUAAGAGCAGAGCACACUGCUCUGUUUUUUUCUGGUCGAGGGGGAGAGGGCUUGGUGGUGCUCUAGCUCACCUCCUAUGCACACAAGGUGUUCGAUGGAAUGCCCGAGCCACACUACUUAAGUUUUCUCCUCUCCAAGCUCCAUUUUCCACAAUAUUUGUCUAGGUUUAGCGGUCCGUCACGCCCCGUCCCCGUCUUCACCGUCGUCGAUCACCCGCGCCGAGCUCAUCGCCGGCACCAGCGUGAUGAGCCUCUUGUUCUUAUCUUCUUUCUGAAAGGAAAAAUAUUUUUACUUGUAUGUUUACAUAGAUACUUGUAUUAUUUUCUUACUUUUAUUAUUGCAUCUUAUAUAGUGCGAUGGUUUUGGUAUCCGCCCCCGUCGGCCCUCGUCCUGUCUAUGAUUCGGAUGUGGUAUAUGUAUUAUAUUUAUAACUAUUGGUUCAUUUAUUGUUUAUGAAAAUUGUGCCGACCAACGUGACAUAGAUUUUAUUUAUGUAGGAUGUAUGUGAAUCAGAAAUGCCAACCGACCCUAUUGUCGAGAGGUUAAAUUUAGUUGAAGAAGAAAACAAUUUGUUGAAGGAAAAAAAUUGAGGAGGAGAAGAUGAUAUUGGAGUUGCAUGUUGCGGAUGUCAUCGAUGAUCACAAGAUCAAGAUGGAUGCAAUGCGCUUGAAGAUUAGAAAGAUUAGAAAAUAUGCCAUUCAUACCGAGGCUUGGUAUCAUUAUGAUGUUGGAUCAAUUGUUAUCUUGGUUGCGAUUAUGAUCGCAUUUGUUUUCGCAUUGAAAUGUUUUACAUAGUUUCAAUGUAUGGUUUAAUUAAUUAGAUGCUCUGGAGAGCUAUAUGUUGUUAGAUGAGAACUAUGUAUGCACUUUGGUUUUAAUGUGAUGAUGAACUUCUAUUAAUUUGGACACUUAAUUAUAUAUAAUGCACGCAGAUGAACCGGCAAUGGAUGUACGGUGACAGACACACCUGCGAGUACAUUAAGGGCAUGCAUGAGUUUCUCGGUGCGGCUGAGGCAAACAAGCAGAAUGGUUUUAUGUGUUGUCCAUGCACUGAAUGUGGGAAUACGAGGUCUUACUCUAACCGGAAAAUCCUUCACUCCCACCUGCUUUACAAGGGUUUCAUGCCACACUAUAAUGUUUGGACGAGGCACGGAGAAAUAGGGAUUAUGAUGGAAGACGGCGAAGAAGAAGAGUACGAUGACAACUAUGUGCCCCCUGAAUACGGUGAUGCUGCAACGGGGGGAGCUGGUGAAGAUCAAGAGGAACCAGACGAUGUGCCCAAUGAUGCUGCAACGGGUGAAGCUGCUGAAGAUCAAGAGGAACCAGGCGAUGUGCCCGAUGAUGAUUGUAAGUGCAUCUAGUGCCACCCCUAGUUGGUUUUGGAGUAUUGACGACAAACCUAGUUGAGGGACUAAUGUGUUUGUGAGAAUUGCGGGAUAACACAGGUAGAAGUCCCUCAUUGAUUCGGUUUUCCUACUAGAGAUGACCCCUAAAAAUGUAUGAAGGCAUUGAAGUCAAAGGUGGUAUAUGAAGAUAUUCACAUUGAAGACUAUGACAAGAGAAGACACCACAUGUAGCGUAUGGAGCUCGAAGACUUAGAUCUUUCGUAGUUCUUUUUCUUUUGUGUUGAGUCAUAGGAACCACCGUACUGUUAAGUGGGGUCCAAGAGAACCAGUCAGAAUGGCUGAAGUGAUGCCUAACCAAAAACACCUAUGUCUUCGAGUGAAGACUAUGAGAGCGAAUCUUGUCCAGAGUCGGACAAGUCAGCUUUGCUUGUAGCCCAAGUAAAGUUGUUGUGUGAGUUUGAAAUCUGACCGUUGGAACACGUGUCAGUUCCUUAGUGACCUAGGGUCAUUUCGGACAAAUCAGGUCGGGUUGCCAAGUGGCUAUAAAUAGCCCACCCCCCACAACCAUAAACGGUUGGCUGCUCAGAUUGAGAGUACGGCUUUUGUUGUUUGAGAGCAACCCACCUUGAAGCCUUUGAGAGAGAAUUCCUUGCGAGGAUAAAGCCCUAACCACCCAGAGCCAGAGAGAAUUGGGCAUCACUUAAGUCUUCUUGUCUGUGUGAUCUGAAGACUUAUUACACUUGAGGACUGUGCAUCAUCCAGCCGGUUAGGCGUCGCGUUCUGAGCAUCCAAGAGACAUUGUGGAUUGCCGGUGAACGAAGUCUGUGAAGGUUUGGGAGUCUACCUUGAAGACUUACCAGAGUGAUUGGGCGAGGUCUGUGUGACCUUAGCUCAAGGGGAAUACGGUGAGGACUGGGUGUCCUGAGCUGCGUGUUGAGGACUGGGUGUCCGGGACUGUGUGUCCUAAGGUUUAAAUACCUAGCCGUCCCAACCAGACGUAUAGUUGUCACAGCAACUGGAACUGGUCCAACAAAUCAUUGUCUUCAACGAGUCACUGGUUUCAUCUUCCCUUCCCUUUACUUACUGUUGCUCCUUGUGAAGUCAUUGUACUUUUGCACUAUCUUUUGUCUUCACUGAGUGACUGCAUGCUAUGUAUGGCUUCAUAAUAUGUUCCUACCUGAUCCUUACUACAUUGCUGCUAUUAAGUCAUUGUCCUUUCACUUCAUUGAACACUUGACUAUGGCUUGCCUAGUGUAGUCUACCUUCCGCUGCAUGGUAGUAGGUUUAUUUCUAUCGUUUGUCUUCAUAACUUCCACGUUUUUAAGACUUUCAUAAAAAUCGCCUAUUCACCCUCCCUCUAGUCGAUAUAACACACUUUCAAUUGGUAUCAGAGCAAGGUGCUCCCUUGUUCUGUGUGAUUCGGUUUAACCACCUGGAGUUUUAGCUAUGUCGACUGCAGGGAUAAUUAAAGUCUUCGCUGCUUGCCCCGUCUUCGAUGGAACUGAAUAUCCCUACUGGAAGAAUAAGAUGCGCAUGCAUCUUGUAGCCAUUGACGUCGACCUAUGGUAUGUCAUUGAGAACGGCGUUCCCAAGGCUGGAGAAGGUGUCACUACUGCUGACGUCAAGAAAUUUGUUCAACUGGACUCUACUGCCAAGAAUAUCAUCUAUGGUCACCUGACCAAAGGACAGUAUGGCCGUGUGAGUGCUUUGAAGACAUCUAAGCUGGUCUGGGACUGGCUCUCCAAGGUCAAUGAAGGCAUCUCAACCCAGAGAGAUCAGAGAAUCAGUGUCCUUCGCAACCUCUUCAACCGCUUCAAGCAAAAUGACAAUGAUAAUGUCCAUCACACUUUUGACCGACUCACUGACAUCACAAAUGAGCUUCAAGCCCUCGGCGCUACUGAGAUCACCAAACAUGAAGUCGUCAAGACACUACUGAGAUCACUUGAUAGUUCGUUUGACAUCCUAGCCCUGAUGAUUCAAGAACGUCCUGAUUUCUAGACACUCGAUCCAUCUGACAUACUUGAGAGGCUCAACACACAUGAGUUUCAGCUAUCUGAGAAAAGAGAUAUCUACGGUCCAAACUAUGGGCUAACUCGUGCCUUAAAGGCAAAAGCUGUCUCCUCAUCUGAAGAAGAAUCUGACAGCAGUUCUGAUGAUCUUGAAGACAUUGGAAGAGAACUUGCUAUGCUUGUGAAGAAGUUCCAAAAAUUCACCAAGAAGAAAGGCUUCAGAAAGUCUUCCCGAUCAAGCUCAAGGAAUGAUGAAGCUUCUGCUCACAACUACAAGAAGAAAACAUGUCACAAGUGCAAGAAACCUGGCCACUUCAUCUCUGAGUGUCCACAGUGGGACAAUGAGAACAAAAAGAAGAAGAAGAGCAAGGAAUAUGACUCUGACGACAAGAAGAAGAAGAAAUACUCAAAUUCUUCGUCCAAGUCUUCCUCCAAGUCUUCAUCACACAAGAAGAGCUCAUCUGGCAAGGCACGUGCGUUUGUUGGCAAGGAAAUGGACUCAGAGGAGGAGUCCGCUUCUGAGGAGGCGGAGGUGGAGUAUGAGGAGGAGUCCGAUUCAGGCGUCGCAAGUCUGGCUACAGCAUGUGUUGCCAAGUCCAUCUUCAAUACUGAAGCCAAUGACCUCGUCACCGACACCGAUGUAAUUGACAAGGACUACUCCGCUUCUACCUACUGCUUCAUGGCACGCGGUGCCAAGGUAAACACAUGCACUACUCACUAUCAAACAUCUAGUGACGAUGACUCUGAUUGUGAUUCAAAACCCAGCUACAAAACACUUGCUAAAAUUGCAACUGAACAGCAGAAAGCUAUGGAACAUAUUCAAAAACUGUUAGACAGAAGCGAUGAUCUGUUAGGUGCUGAAAUGACUCGAUCUGAAUCCUUAAUUGAAGACAUAAAAAAUCUUCACAUUAAGUAUCAGGAACUUGAAAGUCGUCAUGAAACUCUCUCAACAACUCAUGAAAAGCUUUCCUAUGAUUAUCUUCAAAGGAAGCAAGAUCUUGAGAAAUUGAGAGCGGUUCAUGAAGAUCUUCAAAAGGAAAACGAGUCACUUCACUCCAAACAGAUCAGUCCCGCUCAGGAAGGAUUUGAACCACCAUGUCUUAAAUGCAUUGAGCGUGAUAAUGCUACUUCUGUUGCUGAAUGUUCUACUGCUACUACUGUUGCAAUAUCUUCAACUGUUGAUGUGGUAACUAACCCCUCUGCUGAGGAUACCACUGCUAUUGCUGAUGAGAAUGCUAGGUUGAAGACAUUACUUGAAACAGGGAUGUACAAAAGUAUUAAAGGGCAUCCGACACUAUGUGAUGUCCUCAAAAAGCAGAUACUGAACCGAAACCCGAGGAAAGAGGGUGUUGGGUUCGUAAGGAAAAUGAAUGCUGAUGGCUCUUACUGGAAACCUGAGCAGUACCCCAAAACCAUGUGGGUUGCUGCAAAGGAACCUUCAGCAGACCCAUCCAAUCUAUCUGGCUUCACUUGUGCUAACCCCAUUAUCAUUGAUGAAUCCUUUGAUGCAAACUAUAUACUGUUUAAGAAUCAGAAUGGUGAAGUGUUUGCCAGGUACAUUGGUACUAACUGCAGGAAUGGACCGCCUAUGAAGAAGAUCUGGGUUCUGAAAAGGUGUCUGGAGAAUCUUCCUGUGAAUGUCAUCAUGACACCUCACGUGAAGAAGACAAACCUCAGACCAAAGGCUUCAUACGGUCCAAAGGCUUCAUACAGACAGAGGACUCACUUGAGUCGCACUAACGCAAAUCUUCUGCAGGGAAACCAUACUCGGGCAUAUGAAUAUGAGAGCGGUUCAUCAAACCGCCAUGUUCAUAAGACCAAGAACUAUUCUGCUUAUUCUUAUGAGUACUAUUGUCCGCCUGCAAGACUGUUUGCUAGGGCUCCAAAGCCAAAAUUCUCAGAUGCUGCACUUAGACUUAUUGCUUCUCAGCCACCCUUGAAGAUGUGGGUGGCUAAGAAAGCUUAACUCUCUUUUGCAGGGAAAGGUCUCCAGCAGAAAACCAAAAUCGUCUGACGCCAUUGCUGGGGACCUUAAACAUCUUGUAGGGCGCAAGAUCAAAUGCCCAAAUGGUCUUACUAUGUACUUCGUUCCUGAAUCGCUUGCUACUCUCCCUAUUAGUCCUAAUCUGGAUCUAAGCUUUCAUAACCCAUUGGUUCGUCAAAUGUUUUUGCUUCACAAUGCUCUUGGUGAAGCCUAUCCCCCUAACUGCACUGUAGGGUAUGACACCAGCGUCUUCAGAAUGGAUUAUUGAUAGUGGGUGUACAAAUCACAUGACUGGCAAAAGAAGUCUUCUUAUGGACUCAACCUUACGUCCAUCCGACAAGAGCCACAUCACAUUUGCUGACACUGGUAAAAGUAAGGUAUUGGGUCUAGGUAGAGUUGCAAUCUCAAGGGAUCAACACAUGGACAAAGUCAUGCUUGUUGAAUCCCUUGGCUUCAACUUAAUGUCUGUCUCAAUGCUUUGCGAUUUGAACAUGAUCGUAAUAUUUGGAAAAUAUCGUUGCCUUGUACUAAUGGAAUCUGACAAGUCUCUAGUGUUUAAAGGGUAUUGAAAAGAUGAUCUGUACGUAGUAGAUUUCUCAGCAGGACCACAGCUUGCCGUAUGUCUUCUAGCAAAAGCUUCAGAAUGCUGGCUCUGGCAUCGGAGGCUUGGGCAUGCUGGCAUGAGGAACCUUCACACCCUUGCGAAGAAGAAGCAUGUCAUAGGCAUCGAGGGCGUCAAGUUCAAGAAAGACCACUUAUGCGGUGCCUGUGAAGCAGGGAAGAUGACGAGGGCCAAAUAUCCUUCGAAGACAAUCAUGACCACUACUCGACCCUUCGAACCGCUUCACAUGGAUCUUUUCAGUCCCACUCAUUACUCAACUCUUACUACUACUGCAUGCCUCUAUGGCUUCGUUAUUGUUGAUGAUUACUCUAGAUACACUUGGGUGCACAUAAUCCUUUACAAGACUGAAGUGCAGGAUGUCUUCAGACGCUUCGCCAAUCGAGCUAUGAACAAUUAUGGCGCCAAGAUAAAGCACAUCAGAAGUGACAAUGGCACUGAAUUCAAGAACACUGGCCUUGAUACAUAUCUUGAUACCUUGGGCAUCACACAUGAAUUCUCAGCCCCGUACACGCCACAGCAGAAUGGCGUCGUCGAACGCAAGAACAGAACACUCAUUGAGAUGGCCAGAACGAUGCUAGAUGAAUACAAGACCCCAAGAAAAUUCUGGCCUGAAGCCAUUGAUACUGCAUGCCAUACAAUCAAUCGUGUUUAUCUUCACAAGCUUCUGAAGACAUCUUAUGAUCUCCUUACUGGCAAGAAGCCAAAUGUUAGUUACUUCAGAGUAUUUAGCGCAAGGUGUUGGAUCAAGGACCCACAUCACACCUCAAAGUUUGCACCAAAAGCACAUGAGGGUUUUAUGCUUGGAUAUGGAAAGGAUUCGCACUCCUACAGACUCUUCAAUCUCUUUCAUUACAAAGUGGUUGAAAUAGUGGAUGUGCGGUUCGAUGAGACCAAUGGUUCACAAAGAGAGCAACUGCCAAAUGUGCUAGAUGAAGUUCCAUCCAGUGAAUCAAUCAAGCUAAUGGGAACUGGAGAAAUUAUACCUUCUGAAGCUCAUCCUGAAGAAGAACUUAUCAUCUCAGCACCUGAUCAACAUGAAGACAAUGCUCAGCCUGAAGACAUUCCUUCUAACAACGACAAUGAUCAACAAGAGCAAAGUCUUCGCCCUGUACAUCCUCGCGUUGCCAAUGAAGUGCAGAUUGAAAGAAUAAUUGAUAGCAUCAAUACACCCGGUCCACUCACUCGUUCAAGGGCAACUCAGCUAGCAAAUUUCUGUGGGCACUUCGCAUUCGUCUCAAUAACAGAACCCAAGAAAGUUGAAGAAGCCUUCAUGGAACCUGAAUGGAUUCAAGCUAUGCAAGAAGAGCUUCAACAGUUUGAGAUGAAUAAUGUAUGGGAACUAGUUAAGCAUCCUGAUCCACGGAAGCACAAUAUAAUAGGCACCAAAUGGAUAUACCGCAACAAGCAAGAUGAGCAUGGUCAAGUUGUCAGAAACAAAGCUCGUCUCGUUGCUCAAGGAUAUACUCAAGUGGAAGGCAUUGACUUCGAUGAAACAUUUGCUCCUGUGGCUAGACUUGAAGUCAUACGCAUACUGCUGGCCUAUGCAAAUCAUCACAACAUACUUCUAUAUCAAAUGGAUGUGAAGAGUGCUUUUCUCAAUGGCAAGGUUGAAGAAGAAGUGUAUGUUGCACAACCGCCUGGCUUUGAAGAUCCAAAACAUCCUGACAUGGUAUACAAGCUCAACAAGGCACUGUAUGGCCUCAAACAAGCCCCUCGGGCCUGGUAUGACACACUCAAAUACUUCCUGAAGAGCAAAGGCUUCAUACCUGGUUCCCUAGACCCCACUCUCUUCACGAAGACAUAUGAUGGUGAACUUUUUGUGUGCCAAAUAUAUGUGGAUGACAUUAUCUUCGGCUGCACCAAUCAGAAGUACAGUGAAGAGUUUGGAUAUAUGAUGCAAGAGCAAUAUCAGAUGUCCAUGAUGGUAGAACUGAAGUUCUUCCUCGGUCUUCAAAUAUGACAACAAUGCAACGACAUCUUCAUAUCUCAAGAGAAGUAUCUCAAAAAUUGCCUGAAGAAGUUCAGUAUGCAAGACUGCAAAGGCUUCACAACACCAAUGCCAGCCAAACAUCAUCUGGGUCCCGACGACAAUGGUAAAGAGUUCGAUCAAAAGGUAUACUGCUCCAUGAUUGGUUCUUUACUUUAUCUAUGUGCAUCUAGGCCAGAUAUUAUGCUUAGUGUUUGCAUGUGUGCUCGAUUUCAAGCGGCACCAAAGGAGUCGCAUCACUUAGCUGUGAAGCGAAUUCUUCGAUAUUUGGCUCACACCCCAACUCUAGGAUUAUGGUAUCCAAAGGGCUCAAAAUUUGAUCUGGUUGGAUUCUCGGAUGCUGAUUAUGCUGGUGACAAAGUUGAUCGCAAGUCUACAUCAGGCACAUGUCACUUUCUGGGACGAUCACUUGUAUGUUGGUCUUCAAAGAAGCAGAACUGUGUAUCUCUCUCCACUGCUGAAUCUGAAUACAUUGCUGCUGGAUCUUGCUGCGCUCAGCUUCUGUGGAUGAAGCAAACACUCAAGGACUAUGGCAUUCAACUGAAGCAAGUGCCACUUUACUGCGACAAUGAAAGCGCCAUCAAGAUCGCCAACAACCCAGUUCAGCACUCGAAGACAAAGCACAUUGAAAUUCGUCAUCACUUUCUCAAAGAUCAUGUUGUGAAGAAAGAUAUUGAUAUCAUACACGUCAACACUGAAGAGCAAUUGGCAGAUAUCUUCACCAAGCCCUUGGAUGAGAAGAGAUUUUGCAAGUUACGGUGUGAGCUAAAUAUCCUGGAAUCCUCAAAUGUCCUGUGAUCAGGCACACAUCCUAACCCUUAUGCACAUUGAUGACUUAGAUGUGCAACACACAAAGUAAAGUAUAUCUUCAAUCAAUGAAGACAUACAUUCUAAGUGUGAAUACAUUAAUGUGGAAUUUGACUUCGGAGCGCCACGAUAAUUGUGUGCCGUGUCUGGGUCUAAUACUUCCUAUACGGUGGGUAACGCCACCACCAAAUGUUCUAUUUUGAAGUGUUUCGCUCAUGGUGUUACCUUGCAAUGUCUUCACAUUUGGUUUGGCUUCGAUCUCAACAUAUCUUCAUGAUUAUCUUCACUAUGUUGAUUAUAUAUAUAUAUAUAUAUAUAUAUAUAUAUAUAUAUAUAUAUAUAAGUGUUCUGUCCUCUACAGCAUUCACUUAUAGCUAUGUCUUCAUUGUUGAAUCUUUUGAACUAAGUGAAUGUGAUCGAACCCUAACCUCUCUAUGCUUUCUAUCUCAAAUUCUAUCUCUCCAAAUCAUAUGCAUUCUAUUGAAACUGUCGAAUGUCUUCUCUGCGUCCUUGUCAGCAGAAGAUACAGAGACAACCAUUAAGUCCGUUUUCAAUGCUCAUUCCUCCACAUGAAGUAGGAACAACCACCCGACAAUCAAGGCGUGCGUGGGACGUGGAACAAACCCCAAAAUUCUGCAUAAUGGCCAUGUGUUCCUCAGAUACGAAUUGCCAGGGGCACCUGUGUAAUAGCGCAGUGCCGCCCAUGUACUUAUAAAUACACUAGCGCCACCGCUAGCCCUUGACGACGCCCAUAUUAUCUCUUCUUCCACUCUCACACGAACCCUAGCGCCACCGCUAGCCCUCGAUGACGCCGGUGACGAUGCGCUUCGCUGCCGCAACCUCUCCGACGCCGUCUUCACGCCGACCGCGGACAUCGUCCUCUCCGCCGUCGCCGUAGGUGUCCUCCGUCACCAAGUUAGGGCACGGAAGAUCGAACUGCUCGGCCUCAUCUUCCACUUCGUCUAGCAGUUCUUAGUGUGGUAAAUAAAACUUCCUUUUUACAGCAUCGCUGAUCCUAUGGAUUUGUCACUUUCUACCACAAGCAGUUUCUAUUUACACAAGUUAGAUCUCUAUCAUACUGCAUCUCAUAACAUGCCUAGUAUAUUCACUUAUGCUUCAAAAAGUAGUUAGAUUCCUCACUUGUACUGAUCUGUGGAUUCAUACAAAUCUGGAACCAACUCCUUAUCUAUGAGUGAAUGUCUUCGCAAAAUGAGGUCAAUGUCUUCUAAACUGAUUUAUCUUCAAAAUCUUCUGAGAAUGCAUAUGACCUCUUCCCGUUCCCUCGCACCUUAAUGCUGUCACAGGUACAUGUCCGUGGGAGAAUCCUUUGGUUCUCAUAGUCUGCAUUCAUUUGCAGAAUUCUUACAACAUCACAUUAAUUCUCCUGAAGCCAGUUCCUGUUGGUCCAGCAAGCAAAAACCUUUGAAGCCUUUGAACGUGUUGAAGCCUUUCAAGUUAAAGUUUAUGGCUUCAGAGAAAGCAGCAAGGAAGGGUGGCAGAAAGCGUCAUGGAGAAACAUCCAGAGAUCUGCCAGAUGAACUCUCAGAACUGUACAAGACAGAUCCUGAAGAGGAUUACAAUCAGUGCAAGACCCGAAUCCAAUGGAUUCGAAGAUAUUGGGCAGAACAAUGGUUCAAAUAUCAAUUUGUAACCCAAGAAUAUGCUGAGAAAAAUGCCAUCAAGAGACCGUGGGGAGACAUCCAAUACAAGAAUCUUCUACCCAGGUCCAGAGAUGAAGCCAUUUCUCAAGGCUUCUAUCCCUGCAUGGUCCGUGGGCCACAGCCAGCUGAUGCACACCCAUCGUCACUACUAUGGUGUCGUGACGAUAAUCUGUUCAAGCACAACUUCCAGUUUGCCCAGAACUCAGCAAAGCAGAACAAGAAAACUUUGGGGUUAGACUUCAACCCUGGUCCCUCAGCGCCAAGGGUAGAUGGCACACGAGAUGUAGAACCCAAUGUCAUCGGUCCUUUCGACAACCUUGAAGGCCUCAUCACCCGCAUCUUAGUUUAACGGACUGCAGUGAAUGAGCCUGCAGCUGACGCUGUAGCAGAAGAAGCUCCUGCAGCGCCGAAGACAAAGAAGAUGAAGAAGCCUAAAACUUCAAAGCCUGCCCCCUCACCAAAAAUCUCAAGGGCGAAGCCACUGGCAACUGCACCUCCUGAAGACAGUGUGCAGUCCGAAGACUUAUCUCGCAUCUCCAAGCCCCAGAAAGUCAAGAUGCCUCUGCCUCACACCGGACAAGAGCUAACUGCUGCUGCCAUUCUAUGCAAUGACGACAUUGAUCUGUCAAGUGAUGAAGAUCUAGCAGAUGACGCUCUUGAGCAACUCAUCAAGAGCAAAGAAGAAGAAGAAAUCUUCAAUGAUCUGCCUCUCUUUGAUGUGACCAUCAUCCACAACUUCAUUGACAAGUGGUUUGACACGCCAAACAUCAGCUUUGAAGAUCUGCAGCUACCAAUUGGCCUCAGUGUCGCCUUCCAAGGCGCCAUUGCUUUAGAACUCGCUAUUGCCCAGCGCAUUGUUGAACUGAAGCAAAAGAUUGACUAUGAAAAGGCUCAAUUCAAGAAGCAUAUGGCCAAGCUCAGCGUGCAGGAAGUGAAGAACUUCAAGAGUAUGAUGCACGAGCUCAAGGAAGCCUUUGUAAAGAAACAUGCAGAAGCUCAGGGUUCGCGUGAGUGCAUGAAGACUCUAGCUGACAGAUGUGUGCAAGCCUACAAUGAGGCUGAGAAGCGCAAGGCCCUUGGGCGUCCUGGCAUCGACCCCAGGAUGGCCGCAAAGAAGAAGAAGAAGCCUGCUACGGCUGAACCUGACGCACCAAGGCAGGAAGCAGUUCCUAUUGUCUUCCCAACUAAAAUGACUGGCUCGAAGCCAAAAAGCCGGUCAACAGCUUCAGAGCUCAAGAAGACAAGGACUGCUGAGGCUGAAGCUAGGAAGAGGAAACAUUCUGAAGCCUCUCCAACUGCCCCCUCCAAGAAGAAGAGGAAGACCAAGAAAGAUCGGGCAGCUCCCACAGAGCCCUUGAUAGUUGAACCCAUUUCUAUGGUCUAUCCUGAAGCUGAACGCCAACUGACCAUCCAUGAGCCUGGUUCCACAAAGGCUCAUGAAGCUGAAGACUUUCCAGCAGCUAAUCCCAUCGCUGCUGAAGACAUUGGUCAACAUGACAAUGUAGAAGAUGGUCCAGUCCUUCCUCAGAACAGCGAACUCAUCAGCAUUGGUCGUCCACUGACGCCAAUUGCACAGGAUGCUUCAUGGGCGGAUCGCCCACAAGAGGAACAAGACUUUGAGGCCCAGCCCACUCCAACUCCACAGGCGUCGCCCAUGUUGCGCAGGCUUCGCAAAGGUCCAAGGCCUCAAGUCUCUGCUGAAGACAAUCCGGCUGCAUCAGCCGCGGAAGAUGAAGUCCCACAAGUUGCCACUCCACUGUCCCACCAAGAAGCAGUUCUCAAGGAGAACGUGCCUGUGAACGACCCUUCAGCUCGUCAAGUGGAGGAUGAAAAUCUUGCGACUGCCACAACCACCAAUGAAGCUAAUGUGGAGCCCUCCCCAAUGGAAGAAGAAGACAGCGAAGCCACUGAUCCCGUCACUUCUAUUCCUGCGUCUGCUGCCGGUCCCCAGUUCGACUAUCAUGUUGAGCAUAGGCCUCAGGUACAGAAGCCAAUCCGAAGAUUGCCAAGGUUCCCAGGUCCUACAUCAGCACCUGGCUCCUUCAAUAUCAAUGGCUUCAGGGCAGACAACACAUUCUUCGAUAGCUCCAGGAACCCCUACUCAAGGGAAAGGAUAUCAUCUGAUCGGUUCUGGAGCUAUCCUCAGCGAAGCUAUUACUCAUGCAUUCUUUACAACCAAGGUCGCAUCUUCCCACACAAGCGCCUUGACAUUGAAGCCAUAGCUGGUCUGCCUUGUCUGGAAGAAGCUUUGGAUUGCUUCAAGGAAGUUGGACUGCUGCCGUUCGUUACUGACCAAGAGCAUUGAAAUGAAGAGCUGCUGCUCCAAUUCUAUGCCACACUUCACAUGCGCGGGUACAGCAGAGAUCCGAAGACUUGGGUCCUGGAGUGGAUGACCGGAAAUGUUCAUCACGAAGCUAAUGCAUUUGACAUCAUUGAGCUCACUGGUUUGCCCACUCCUGGCGAUCUCUACGAGCAUGGCUGUCAGCUGCAUAGUGAAGCUAUUGAGAGCAUCUUUAAGAGGCCGGAACCUGAUAUGAGUCAGAUGCUCAGCAUGAUGAAGCCAUUGCCCCGAGAUGCUGCUUAUCCAACAGAGUUCUUCGUUGAAGACCUUGAGUAUCUGCCACGAACCAUCUAUCACAUCAUUAGGCGAACUCUCUGGCCCAUCAAAGGGCACUCUCCAAAUGCCAAGCUUGAGGGUGCAAUGAAGACUUUGGUCUUCUAUAUUCUUCAUGGAAAAUGCUUCAAUGCACAGGACUUAUUCAUCCGCCAACUUGCUGCCUCGGGCUCUGAUCUGUUUGGCUUGAAGUUCUACGCCCCAUGGGUAAUGCGGCUAAUUAAACUUCACUCCGAUAUCUCAUAUCAGCCAUCUGCUCGCAAUCAUAGGAUUUUUCUGCCUGAUGUGGAUAUCUCUACUGAAGCCAUCUAUCCUGAGCCUGCAAAGGAACCUCUAAGUCUUCAGAAUGCAGAGCAUCAGAGUUUCUCACAGAACAUUGAAGGAGUUGAAGCAGUCACUCGGGUGUAUCCUUUGGCUGGCACUACACGUGCACCACACCCUGCGUCUACUGAAGCCACUGAUAGUAUAACUGCUCCAAGACCCAAGAAGCGCACUCGUGUUCUCAACGACCGAGAGCUUCUUGUGGCUCUUCAUCAGAAACAGGAUAGGCAUCAUGACUGGCUGAAGCGUCAGAUGAAAAGCCUCUUGGUGGAAGUUAAUCGCAUUCGCAAUCUUGCCACCAAGAAUGCUUUCGUUGCCCAUGAAACCUGUCGCUGUACAUGGAAAGGGCUAACGAUGAUGUGUUCUGAAGAUGAUCUCCAAGAGGAUGGCUUCACUGAGCGAUUCAAGUUUGACUCCACACCUCCUCGAAGAGUUGUGCUGCUAGGAACUCCAUCCCUUGAAGACUCUGAGUUCUCUUCAUCUGCUGCAACAGUGACUGCCAGAGUUAUCGAGGAUGAAGAUGAUGCUACUUCACCACCACCUCCUUCAGCACGCGUCAACUCUGCUCCAAGCUCUUCAGUACUGCCAAACACCACCAACGACCCUGCUACUUCACCUACUCCGCCUGGGAACGAGUAGAUGCUCUAUGUCUUCAAACCUUUUUGGUCCUUACUGACAAAAGGGGGAGAAGCAUAUGAGGUUGAUAGUCUUCAAGCGGGUCCAUAUGGGCGGGUGCUUUAUAUUUUUCUUCGUGCUUACAACUCUCAUUUUUCUACAUUUGGUUCUUUGAGUUGUAACACUUAACCUCGAUGGUCGUCUGCUACUUAUCUGCCACUUUGUUUUGCGAUGAUAAAUUCUGCAUGUGCGACGAUAAAUUCCGCACUUAGAUCAUUCUGCAGACGUCCAUUUUCCAUUAUGCAUGUCAUUAUCUUCAUAUACUUUCACAUGCAUAGUGGAUUGUCAUCAUAAGUUGAAGUGGAUCUCCACAAGUACAACCUACCAUGUGCAUUUGCAUUCCAAAAGCAAAUUACCUAUGUGCACAUCUUCAGGGGGAGCCCUUGCAACUUAUGAAGACAAUUCCUUAUCCUUUACAAUUUCACAGAUUAUAUUCCCCGUUGAAAACUUCAACUAGUUUGUCAUCAAUCACCAAAAAGGGGGAGAUUGUAAGUGCAUCUAGUGCCACCCCUAGUUGGUUUUGGAGUAUUGACGACAAACCUAGUUGAGGGACUAAUGUGUUUGUGAGAAUUGCAGGAUAACACAGGCAGAAGUCCCUCAUUGAUUCAGUUUUCCUACCAGAGAUGACCCCUAAAAAUGUAUGAAGACAUUGAAGUCAAAUGUGGUAUAUGAAGAUAUUCACAUUGAAGACUAGACAAGAGAAGACACCACAUGAAGCCUAUGGAGCUCGAAGACUUAGAUCUUUCGUAGUUCUUUUUCUUUUGUGUUGAGUCAUAGGUACCACCGUACUGUUAAGUGGGGUCCAAGAGAACCAGUCAGAAUGACUGAAGUGAUGCCUAACCAAAAACACCUAUGUCUUCGAGUGAAGACUAUGAGAGCGAAUCUUGUCCAGAGUCGGACAAGUCAGCUUUGCUUGUAGGCCAAGUAAAGUUCCCGUGUGAGUUUGAAAUCUGACCGUUGGAACACGUGUCAGUUCCUUAGUGACCCAGGGUCAUUUCGGACAAAUCAGGUCGGGUUUCCAAGUGGCUAUAAAUAGCCCACCCCCCACAACCAUAAACGGUUGGCUACUCAGAUUGAGAGUACGGCUUUUGUCGUUUGAGAGCAACCCACCUCGAAGCCUUUGAGAGAGAAUUCCUUGCGAGGAUAAAGCCCUAACCACCCAGAGCCAGAGAGAAUUGGGCAUCACUUAAGUCUUCUUGUCUAUGUGAUCUGAAGACUUAUUACACUUGAGGACUGUGCAUCCUCCAGCCAGUUAGGCGUCGCGUUCUGAGCAUCCAAGAGACAUUGUGGAUUGCCGGUGAACAAAGUCUGUGAAGGUUUGGGAGUCUACCUUGAAGACUUACCAGAGUGAUUGGGCGAGGUCUGUGUGACCUUAGCUCAAGGGGAAUACGGUGAGGACUGGGUGUCCUGAGCUGUGUGUUCAGGACUGGGUGUCCGGGACUAUGUGUCCUAAGGUUUAAAUACCUAGCCGCCCCAACCAGACGUACAGUUGUCACAGCAACUGGAACUGGUCCAACAAAUCAUUGUCUUCAACGAGUCACUGGUUUCAUCUUCCCUUCCCUUUACUUACUGUUGCUCCUUGUGAAGUCAUUGUAUGUUUGCACUAUCUUUUGUCUUCACUGAGUGACUGCAUGCUCUGUAUGUCUUCAUAAUAUCUUCCUACCUGAUCCUUACUACAUUGCUGCUAUUAAGUCAUUGUGCUUUCACUUCAUUGAACUCUUGACUAUGGCUUGCCUAGUGUAGUCUACCUUCCGCUGCAUGGUAAUAGGUUUAUUUCUAUCGUUUGUCUUCAUAACUUCCAAGUUUUGAAGACUUUCAUAAAAAUCGCCUAUUCACCCCCCCCCUAGUCGAUAUAACGCACUUUCAAUGAUGAUCUACGCCGGGUCAUUAUCGAUGCAAGGACGCAAUGCGAAAGUCAAAAGGAGAAGCUGAAGUUCGAUCGCAUGUUAGAGGAUCACAAAAAAGGGUUGUACCCCAAUUGCGAAGAUGGCAACACAAAGCUCGGUACCGUACUGGAAUUGCUGCAGUGGAAGGCAAAGAAUGCUGUGGCUAACAAAGGAUUUGAGAAGCUACUGAAAAUAUUGAAGAAGAAGCUUCCAAAGGAUAAUGAAUUGCCCGACAGUACAUACGCAGCAAAGAAGGUCGUAUGCCCUCUAGGAUUGGAGGUGGAGAAGAUACAUGCAUGCCCUAAUGACUGCAUCCUCUACCGCGGUGCAUACAAGGAUCUGAACGCAUGCUCGGUAUGCGGUGCAUUGCGGUAUAAGAUCAGACGAGAUGACCCUGGUGAUGUUGACGGCGAGCCCCCUAGGAAGAGGGUUCCUGCGAAGGUGAUGUGGUAUGCUCCUAUAACACCACGGUUGAAACGUCUAUUCAGAAACGAAGAGCAUGCCAAGUUGAUGCGAUGGCACAGUGAGAACUGAAAGAAAGAUGGGAAGUUGAGAGCACCCGCUGACGGGUCGCAGUGGAGAAAAAUCGAGAGAAAGUACUGGGAUGAGUUUGCAAAGGACCCAAGGAAUGUAUGGUUUGCUUUAAGCGCGGAUGGCAUUAAUCCUUUCAGGGAGCAGAGCAGCAAUCACAGCACCUAGCCCGUGACUCUAUGUAUGUAUAACCUUCCUCCUUGGAUGUGCAUGAAGCGGAAGUUCAUUAUGAUGCCAGUUCUCAUCCAAGGCCCUAAGCAACCCGGCAACGACAUUGAUGUGUACCUAAGGCCAUUAGUUGAAUAACUUUUACAACUGUGGAAUGGAAAUGGUGUACGUACGUGGGAUGAGCACAGACAGGAGGAAUUUAACCUAAAGGCGUUGCUGUUCGUGACCAUCAACGAUUGGCCCGCUCUCAGUAACCUUUCAGGACAGACAAACAAAGGAUACCACGCAUGCACGCACUGUUUAGAUGACACUGAAAAUAUAUACCUGGACAAAUGCAAGAAGAAUGUGUACCUGGGCCAUCGUCACUUUCUUCCGACCAACCAUCAAUGUCGAAAGAAAGGCAAGCAUUUCAAAGGCGAGGCAGAUCACCGGAAGAAGCCCGCCAUGCGUACCGGUGAUCACGUACUUGCUAUGGUCAAUGAUUUACACGUAAUCUUUGGAAAGGGUCCCGGCGGACUAGCUGUUCCGAAUGACGCUGAGGGACACGCACCCAUGUGGAAGAAGAAAUCUAUAUUUUGGGACCUACCCUACUGGAAAGAUCUAGAGGUCCGCUCUUCAAUCAACGUGAUGCAUGUGACGAAGAACCUUUGCGUGAACCUGCUAGGCUUCUUGGGCGUGUAUGGGAAGACAAAAGAUACACCUAUGGCACGGGAGGACCUGCAACGUUUGCACGAAAAAGACGGCCUGCCUCCGAAGCAGUAUAAAGGUCCUGCCAGCUAUGCUCUUAUGAAAGAAGAGAAAGAAAUCUUCUUUGAAUGUCUUCUCAGUAUGAAGGUCACGACUGGCUUCUCGUCGAAUAUAAAGGGAAUAAUAAAUAUGCCAGAGAAAAACUUUCAGAACCUAAAGUCUCAUGACUGCCACGUGAUUAUGACGCAACUGCUUCCGGUUGCAUUGAGGGGGCUUCUACCGGAAAACGUUCGAUUAGCCAUUGUGAAGCUAUGUGCAUUCCUCAAUGCAAUCUCUGAGAAGGUGAUCAAUCCAGAAAUCGUACCAAAGCUAAGGAGUGAUGUGGCGCAAUGUCUUGUCAGUUUCGAGCUGGUGUUCCCACCAUCCUUCUUCAAUAUCAUGACGCACGUCCUAGUUCAUCUAGUCGACGAGAUUGUCAUCCUGGGGCCUGUAUUUCUACACAAUAUGUUACCCUUUGAGAGGUUCAUGGGAGUCCUAAAGAAAUAUGUCAGUAACCGCGCUAGGCCAGAAGGAAGCAUCUCCAUGGGCCAUCAAACAGAGGAUGUUAUCGGGUUUUGUGUUGACUUCAUUCCUGGCCUUAAGAAGUUAGGUCUCCCUAAAUAGCGGUAUGAGGGGAGACUGACUGGAAAAGGCACUCUUGAAAGUGACUCAAUAAUAUGCAUGCAUGGAUAUUCUUGGUCUCAAGCACACUACAUAGUUCUACAUAACUCUACCUUGGUGACCCCGCAUGUCGAUGAACACAAGAACAGUCUGCGCUCCAAACACCCGGAGCAGUGCGACGACUGGAUUACAUGUGAACACAUCAGGACUUUCAGCAGUUGGUUGGAAACACGUCUCAGAGGUGACAACACUGUUUGUGAUGAGUUGUACUUGUUGUCCAGGGGACCAUCUUUGACUGUAUUGACUUACAAAUGAUACGAGAUAAAUGGGAAUACAUUUUACACGAUCGCCCAAGAUCAAAAGAGCACCAACCAAAACAGCGGUGUCCGCUUUGAUGCAGCAACCGAGAGCGGAAAGGACACAUAUUAUGGUUACAUAGUGGACAUAUGGGAACUUGACUACGGACCUGAUUUUAAGGUCCCUUUGUUUAAGUGCAAAUGGGUCAAUCUUUCAGGCGGCGGGGUACAGGUAGACCACAGUACGGAAUGACAACAGUGGAUCUAAAAAAUCUUGGGUACACUAACGAACCGUUCGUCCUAGCCAAUGAUGUGGCACAGGUUAUCUAUGUGAAGGACAUGUCUACCAAACCGAGAAAGAGAAAAGAUAAGAAAGCGAAUACAUCAUACGAUGAGCCAAAGCGCCACAUAGUUCUUUCAGGAAAAAGGGACAUCCUGGGAGUGGACGGCAAGACAGACAUGUCUGAAGAUUAUGAAAAGUUUCAUGAAAUUCCUCCCUUCAAUGUCAAGGCUGACCCAAGCAUCCUGAUAAACGAUAAAGAUUAUCCAUGGUUACAGCGCAAUAAGCAAAUGACACAAGCGAAGAAAAAGUGAAGACUUUCUCCCGCAACUAUUAUGAUGAUACCAUGCCAACUUUGUAACACACGAGUAUGCUAUGCCAACUUUUCAGAGUUCAUUUGAAAACUAUGAAUUUAGGUCGAAUUUUCUCUAUAGGUGCAUCUAUGUUCAUUUUUUAGUAAAGUUAAUCACAAACUUGUGAUUCACACAAAUUUCAAAGAAUUCAAAUUUUAACUAUUCAAAUUUGAAAACUAAUGGCACUAACAGAAAGUUUAUAAUUUUGCUGACCUAAAAGCAAAAAGAAAUAAAAAAUAAAGCAAAAAACAAAAGAAAAUAAAUAAUGUAGAAAACAAAACAAAAAAUCUGGAAAACAAAAAAAUAGCAACAAUAAGUAUUUUUUUGUAAAUAGAAACAAAAUAAAAUAAAUAAAGUAACAAAGAAAACAAAAAAACUAAAAAAGUGUUUUCAAAUUUGAAAACUAAUGGCACNNNNNNNNNNNNNNNNNNNNNNNNNNNNNNNNNNNNNNNNNNNNNNNNNNNNNNNNNNNNNNNNNNNNNNNNNNNNNNNNNNNNNNNNNNNNNNNNNNNNNNNNNNNNNNNNNNNNNNNNNNNNNNNNNNNNNNNNNNNNNNNNNNNNNNNNNNNNNNNNNNNNNNNNNNNNNNNNNNNNNNNNNNNNNNNNNNNNNNNNNNNNNNNNNNNNNNNNNNNNNNNNNNNNNNNNNNNNNNNNNNNNNNNNNNNNNNNNNNNNNNNNNNNNNNNNNNNNNNNNNNNNNNNNNNNNNNNNNNNNNNNNNNNNNNNNNNNNNNNNNNNNNNNNNNNNNNNNNNNNNNNNNNNNNNNNNNNNNNNNNNNNNNNNNNNNNNNNNNNNNNNNNNNNNNNNNNNNNNNNNNNNNNNNNNNNNNNNNNNNNNNNNNNNNNNNNNNNNNNNNNNNNNNNNNNNNNNNNNNNNNNNNNNNNNNNNNNNNNNNNNNNNNNNNNNNAAAAACAAAAAAAGUGUUUUCAAAUUUGAAAACUAAUGGCACUAACAGAAAGUUUAUAAUUUUUCUAAAACUAAAAGCAAAAAGAAUUAAAUAAUAAAGCAAAAAACAAAAGAAAAUAAAUAAUGCAGAAAACAAAACAAAAAACUGAAAAAAAUUAAAAAUAGCAACAAUAAGUAAAGAAAACAAAAAAACAAAAAAAAGUGCCUCCUACUGAGGCCCCACGGCCUGAAUACGACUAGAAACCCUACCAUGGGCCAGGAUUCAGGCCCGCAGGAGACCCAGUAGGCCCACAUGCACAGAUAGUGGAUUUAGGCCCGUAAGCCUACGGUAGUGAGGAGCUCGAAGUGGUCGGCUCGGCAGAGCUUAUAAACCACUCCAAGCCCCUCUCGGCUAGCGAGGUGGGACUAAACAUCCCACCGCACUGCGCCAGUUCUAGCACACAACCUUUGGUCCCGGUUGGUGCCAGCAACCGGGACUAAAGGGGGCAUUGGUCACGGUUCGUAGCAUAAACCGUGACCAAUGCCCCCCUUUAGUCCCCGGUUGAUGCUACCAACCGGGACCAAAGGCCGCCGCUUCCCGCCCUUUGGGCUGCUAAAAAGAGACCUUUGGUCCCGGUUGGUGGCACCAACCGGGACUAAAGGGGGGCAUUGGUCAUGGUUUGUUCCACGAACCGUGACCAAUGCCUUUGCUAUAUAACUAGCACUUGUGAAAAUUUCCAUUCAGUUCGUCUUCCUCGCCCGACGCCGCCAUGCUGCCCCUNNNNNNNNNNNNNNNNNNNNNNNNNNNNNNNNNNNNNNNNNNNNNNNNNNNNNNNNNNNNNNNNNNNNNNNNNNNNNNNNNNNNNNNNNNNNNNNNNNNNNNNNNNNNNNNNNNNNNNNNNNNNNNNNNNNNNNNNNNNNNNNNNNNNNNNNNNNNNNNNNNNNNNNNNNNNNNNNNNNNNNNNNNNNNNNNNNNNNNNNNNNNNNNNNNNNCCCGCGUCGCAUCCCUACACCGUCGCCGCCCCGCCUCUGCCUCGCCGUCGCCGCCCCGCGCCGCCGUCGCCUCUCGCUUUGGUCAGGGCCGGCACCGCCCCCCUCUUCCCCCCUGUUUUUAAUUUUUUUGCAAAUUCAUAUAUGUUUUUUCCUGAUUAUAUGUAUAUGUAUGUGUGUAUAUGUAUGCAAAAGAUAGAUUAGCAAAAAAAAUAGUAUUUUUUCUGUUCAUAGAUUUUUUUGGUGAUAUUGAUUAUUGUAAAUAUGCAAAUGUUUGCAUAUUCAUAUGAACAAUGAAUUAGGCAAAACCUUUACUUUUUUCUAAAAUUUCUAUUUGAACAUUAUUUAAAAAAAACAAGCAAUACUACUUCAUGUAUUUUUAAGAAGGAAGAAGAAGAAAAAUAAUGAGAGGAAAAAGGAAAUAAGAAGAGGAAGAAAGGAGAAGAAGAGGGGAGAGGAAGACGAGGAGAAAUAAAUAAGAAGAAGAAAAAAGAAGAAAAAGAAGAGGAGAAGAAGAAAGGANNNNNNNNNNNNNNNNNNNNNNNNNNNNNNNNNNNNNNNNNNNNNNNNNNNNNNNNNNNNNNNNNNNNNNNNNNNNNNNNNNNNNNNNNNNNNNNNNNNNNNNNNNNNNNNNNNNNNNNNNNNUAUUUUCCCAUGUACGUAUGUCGUGUCGAUAUAAACUCCCGAUAACUUCAACACGAGGGGGGGUCGAUAUAUAUACCCCCUCCCCGAUAAUAUUAUUUUCCCGCAUGUAGGUAUGUCGUGUCGAUAUAAACUCCUGAUAACUUCAACACGUGGGGUGGGGUCGAUAUACCCCCUCCCGAUAACUUCAACACGUGGGGGGUCGAUAUACCCCCUCCCGAUAACUUCAACACGAGGGGGUGGGGUCGAACAUGAGAGGAAGAAGAGGAUAAAAAAAGAAGAGGAAGAAGAAAAAAAGAGGAGAAGAAAGAAUAGAGGAGAAGAUCUCCUCUAUUCUUUCUUCUCCUCUUUUUUUCUUCUUCUUCCUCUUUUUUUUAUCGGGAACGAGGGUCGUCGAGGGUCGCCGAGCGGUAGAGGAAACCCUAAAUAGCAAGUAUCGUCGGUGUGAGAUACAUGUGGUCGUCGGUGUCGGAAAGUACAUCCACGUCCCACAAGUGACGCGGGCUUCGACGCCNNNNNNNNNNNNNNNNNNNNNNNNNNNNNNNNNNNNNNNNNNNNNNNNNNNNNNNNNNNNNNNNNNNNNNNNNNNNNNNNNNNNNNNNNNNNNNNNNNNNNNNNNNNNNNNNNNNNNNNNNNNNNNNNNNNNNNNNNNNNNNNNNNNNNNNNNNNNNNNNNNNNNNNNNNNNNNNNNNNNNNNNNNNNNNNNNNNNNNNNNNNNNNNNNNNNNNNNNNNNNNNNNNNNNNNNNNNNNNNNNNNNNNNNNNNNNNNNNNNNNNNNNNNNNNNNNNNNNNNNNNNNNNNNNNNNNNNNNNNNNNNNNNNNNNNNNNNNNNNNNNNNNNNNNNNNNNNNNNNNNNNNNNNNNNNNNNNNNNNNNNNNNNNNNNNNNNNNNNNNNNNNNNNNNNNNNNNNNNNNNNNNNNNNNNNNNNNNNNNNNNNNNNNNNNNNNNNNNNNNNNNNNNNNNNNNNNNNNNNNNNNNNNNNNNNNNNNNNNNNNNNNNNNNNNNNGGACAGUACAUCCACGUCCCACAAGUGACGCGGGCUUCGACACCCACGUCACUUGUGGGACGUGGAUGUAGUGUCCGACACCGACGGCCACAUGUAUCUCACACCCACGAUACUUGCUAUUUAGGGUUUCCUCUACCGCUCGGUGACCCUCGACGACCCUCGUUCCCGAUAAAAAAAAGAGGAAGAAGAAGAAAAAAAGAGGAGAAGAAAGAAUAGAGGAGUUCUUACUCCUCUAUUCUUUCUUCUCCUCUUCUUUUUCUUCUUCCUCUUCUUUUUUUAUCCUUGAAGCGUUAUCGAGGCCACCCAAACCCUAGAAAAGCAGCGUCGAGGCCACCCCAAACCCUAGAGAAGCAGCGUCGAGGCCACUAAUUAAUAUUAGUUCUACGUUUGCCACUAAUAUAUCCAUCUGUCAUGUUUGAAUAAUAAUUGCCAUGUUGUAAAUAUUUGUAGAAACUAUGGACACCACCAAAGACGAAGUACAAGAAGAGUUGUUGGGGGACAUAAUCGCACGAGGAAGUGAUGUCGUCUGCUCGUUGUUUCUCAACGACACCGAUGGUAUGGAAGCAGCUGGCUAUGAUUAUGAUGGCUCCGGUGACCUAAUGCCGGUGCAAGAAGGAGACCGUGAGGACGGCUCCGGUGACCCAAUGCCGGUGCAAGAAGGAGACCGUGAUGACGUCUCCGGUGACCGAACCGAGUCCUGCCAGGUAUAUAUAUUAGUUAAGCUUCUGCUGACUAGCUAAUUGAUGCAUUCAUUGUUUUGGUAUGUACACAUAUUAAUUAAGUCUUUGUUCUUUUUUAGCCCCCCGGAUCGAGCACAACUUCGGUAAAGAGACGAGGCCCGAAGAAAAAGUUAAGCACGGAUGAAAAGUUUGAGAUCAUAGUAAUCGCGCCCGAUGGCCAACCGAUUGAACCCCUCCGGACAAAGAGUGCAUUUGUUGCUCAGUGCGGGGUUUUGGUUAGGGACAAGAUCCCGAUCAGCAUCCAGCAAUGGUUAAAGCCGGCUAUAGAAGACCCUGAGGUGUCUUAUGUCAAUGAUAUGCAGAAAAAUGAUCUUUGGACUGAGCUGAAGUCAAAUUUCACCCUACCGCCAGAGGAUGAUCCGGAGAAUCCAGUUAAAGAGCAAUUAAUCAAGUAUUUUGCUCUUAAGAGGAUGGCAGAACUAUUCAGGAGGUGGAAGAAAGAGCUGAAUAAGUUUUUCGAAAAUAAAGAGACACCAGAAUUCAAGGGAAGAUAUGAGAAGAUCAGAGAUCACUGGCCCGCAUUUGUGGCCCACAAGACAUCGGAAAAGAGUAAGAAGAUGUCGGCGACAAACAAGCAAAAUGCUGCGAAGAAGAAGCAUUACCAUCGCACGGGGUCAGGUGGCUACCUCGUAGCCCGGCCUAAGUGGGCCAAGACUGAGAAUGAUCUGGUUGAUAAAGGGAUCGAACCAGAGACAAUUAACUGGCCAGACCGUUGCCGGACUUGGUUCUUCGGGGUUGGCGGAACCUUGGACCCUGUAUCAGGGAAGUGCAUUUGGAUGAACAAUCAAAUGGACAUACCAGUCAAGAAGCUUCAGCAGUAUAUCGAAGCAGCGCAGCAAGGGAUGUUCUUUCCAGACAAAGAGAACGAUGAGCUCACAAUGGCCCUCGGGAAUCCUGAGCACCCUGGACGGACACGAGGCACGCCAGGCUCCAUUCCGUGGAAGGUUGGGUUUCCGGACGCAGGCGGUUACAAAUGCCAGGAGAGGAGGAAAAAAGUGCAGCAGACCCAAAUGCAGGCGCCGCAAGCAAGGGUACAAGCAAUAGAGGAACGAGAAGCAAAUCGCAGCAAACGAACUGCUGAAGCUUCCCCCGAAGCUACCCCGCCAUCUCAGCGGAGAAGCAGCGUGGCUUCCACCGAGCUGCUUCAGCCGGAGCAUGUCUUGACGGCUCCUCCCAGCUAUCUCGUGGAUGCUAUCAUGGAGUCUCAAAAUUGCCACCUUAUGACGCAAUGGAUGAAUUUGAAGGUCAAGGCGGCUGUUGGCUCUGUUUAUCUUACUGAACCCAGAGCAACUUUUCACUGCCGGCCGAUUCCAGAAGGAUAUGCUAGGGUGAUGGUGGAUGAAAUAACGAAGGGAUUUGAGGACCUCCAGCUUGACCACCCUACUGGUGAAGGGGAGACUAGGCUGGGUUCUGCUCUGAAGACUCCAUGCCUAUGGCGGAAGGAGCUCAUCAACCUUCCGAACUGGACGCCUCCGCCUCCUCCUCCUCCUCCGGCGAGUCAGGGCACUCUGCCUCCUCCACCGCCUCCUCCUUCGGCGAGUCAGGGCACUCCGCCUCCUCCACCGCCUCCUCCUCCGGCGAGUGACGAUUAGGGCACUCGGCCGGCUCCUUCUCCGGCGCGUGGCGGCACUCCGCCUCCUUCUCCGCCUGCGCCGGCGCGCCCGAGCAGCCAGCCUCCUCCUUCUCCGCCUUGUCAGCAAGGGCGGAAGAGACCUGCCGCCGCUCCGGUUGCUCUGGCGCAUCGUAGUCCUUCUCCUCCACCUCAUAAGAAAGUAAAGAAGACAACCGCUCUGUCUGCUCUGCCGGUGUCUAGCAGUACAGCCAGAGGCGGGAGGACAUACAGAUUCGGUCCUUCUCUAAAGACUCCAGAGAAGUUACCAUAUGAGAGUACCCCGGAGGAGAAUGCCGAGAUCGCGCGAGAAGAAGUGAGGAACUUCUUUGAAGGGGUGAAAGCAAAGAAACAUCCACCUCCGGAGGAGAAGGUAGAUCCGGUGAAAGCGAAGUGCACUAUGGCUGCCCUGACAAAACCACCCAAGUCUCCGCCGAAAGGAAACUAUGAGCGCAUUAUUGGAAAGGAAUUUGUCGAAGCGGAGCGGUCGGGAAAUACUGUUAGUGAUCAAAGGCUGAAAGAACGACGAGCUGGGAAACAAAUUGCACAGCUCGGCGAACAAGCGAAGCAAUCGUGCCCCCCGCUCAAGGUGCCUAGCGACAUCGUCGCUAAUGAUCCGAGGAUGGUGUCCGGUUAUAGCAAUCUUGGAGAUUACCUGCUCGACGAUGUACAUUAUGAUUUCAUGGAGGUGCAGAUACAAAGAUAAGAAUACGGGAAGCCUCUCGUCAAAGAUGAAAGAUCUCUAUCAACGAUGAUGCGAAGAUUGCAUGAUUGGUACUUGAAAAUCUGCAGAGAGUCUGGGGGGAGGAGUACUUUGUAUGUGAGAGUUAAAAAGGAGCAUGACCUCGUUGGAAUUGAUCUGUUGCCUAUUCCAUUUGAGGAGUUCUUUCAGUUUUUCAAUCAAUUGGCCCUCGAUAAAGCAACGGUCACCUGCUACUGUCUGUAAGUAGUACUACUUCUGUCAUUAAGUCUCUCUAUAUAGCUCAACUCUUUCAUUGCAUGUAUUUAUAAUUAUCCUCACUAUAUUAUGCAGAUUGAAGAUCUCCGAAUUGAAUAAAAGACAAGUCGGUGAUAUUGGGUUCAUUAACACAUAUCUCAUAGAUGAAACUGAGGUUAAAUUUCAUCCUGCAGAUACCGAGGCCAACUUGCUACGAUCGUUGGUAAUAAAUGAAAACAAAGAUAUAAUACUCUUUCCUUACAACUUCAAGUGAGUGUUACUGUCUUGUGCGUAUUCGGUUUCCCUUAUAUAUUAGUCAAGGUUAUAGUAAUGUAAUUGAUGAGUUAUGCAUGCGUGUGCAGUUUCCACUAUAUUCUCCUAGAGAUUAAGCUUGAGCAGGGACUAGUAACCGUCUUAGGCUCAAGACAAAAAGAUCCCGAGGACUAUGCGGACAUGACUCAAAUGCUCGAGAAGUAAGUUAAAUCGAUCAUUAUCCACCACAUCAGCAACUUUGUUCAUUUCCUGAUAUAUCAAGUAAUUGUUUUCUUUGUCUGGCAGGGUUUGGAAAAAAUUCACCAAAAAAGCUCCGGGACUCCCGAAGAAGCUGCAAUUUAGACACCCGAAAGUAAGUACUAUAGUAGCAUGUUCCGCGCAUCUCCUAUUGAUUCAAGCGCUAGUUUCAUCAAUACCAUUUGGCAUUCUUGCUUAUUAGUUUGAUUGACCUCUUUUUCUUGUAAAGUGGUUGUGGCAGGAACAAGGGAAUAAUUUCUGUGGAUACUACAUUUGCGAGUCCAUCCACCACACGACCUGUGAGCGGGGCUACUCUGACGAACAAUAUGAAGUGCGUAAAUAACAACAUUCACAAUUUUAUUUUAUUACCAUCAUUUGUGUUGAGUUUCAUUCAUUCAUAUAUAUAUAUAUGUAUUGACUCCCUUCUUCAAAUUCGAUGUUUCGAAAGCGGGGAUGAACUCCUAGCACCUGCUCGCAUGCGAGCAAUUCAAGAGGAAUUGGCUGCAUUCUUUCUUGACCACGUGAUCGCUGAAGACGGAGAAUACUAUGUGGACCAUGAGUCCGUAUGUUAGGAGAUUAUAUUUGUAAGAGAUAAUUAUUGUAUAUAUGUAGCCGAUAGUGUCGGAUAGAUAUACAAGAACUUGUUGUUCGACCAAUCUCUCAGAGAAAGAGAGGUGGUCGAUAUCACUUCUCUCUGUAUGCAUAUAUGUUCAUGACGAUCUUCUGUUUCCUUCGCUUGCUUACUAGCUAGCUAGCGUGUCUAGUCCUCUCUAUACGUAUAUAUAGUACGUAGCGUCGACCAAGCACGGACAUAAGAGAGGACACUUCUCUCUAUUAAUUAUAGCUAGCUAACACAAUAUAUGAAACACCUAAAUUAACCCCCCAAAACCCCCCAACCUCCCCCCCCCUUCAAAAAAAAAACAAAAACCCCAGCCACAGAAAUGCUGACGCGUGGAUGCCUAUUGGUCCCGGUUGGUGCCACCAACCGGGACCAAAGGCCCUCCUGCCUGGGCUCCGCGCACAGGCCACGUGGAGGCCCAUCUGUCCCGGUUCUGGAUUGAACCGGGACUAAAGGGACAGGGCAUUAGUACCGACCCUUUAGUCCCGGUUCAGGAACCGGGACAAAGGGCCCUUAUGAACCAGGACAACAUGCCCUUUUUCUACUAGUGACCACCGAUCGUAGGGAACAAGAGCAGCCGGUUGGGCCGGUGACACAUGGGGAGGGGGGAGGAAUGGGCAAAUCAUGUUGGGGAAGGAAGUUGUUAUUCUUCGUCUAAGGAAAAAUAUUUGAUGUUAGAAGAAAGAUGUCCAACUAUUUGGUUCAGAUUUCAU
rnacentral:lncRNA from 1 species